AACGAACGCUGGCGGCAGGCCUAACACAUGCAAGUCGAGCGAGGACUUCGGUUCUAGCGGCGGUCGGGUGAGUAACGCGUGGGAAUUUGCCCUUCUCUACGGUAUAGCCCUUGUAAACUUGGAGUAAUACCGUAUACGCCCUUUUGGGGUAAGCUUUAUCGGAGAAGGAUCAUCCCGCGUUGGAUUAGGUAGUUGGUGGGGUAAUGGCCUACCAAGCCGACGAUCCAUAGCUGGUUUGAGAGGAUGAUCAGCCACACUGGGACUGAGACACGGCCCAGACUCCUACGGGAGGCAGCAGUGGGGAAUCUUAGACAAUGGGGGGAACCCUGAUCUAGCCAUGGCGCGUGAGUGAUGAAGGGCUUAGGGUAGUAAAGCUCUGUCAGCUGGGAAGAUAAUGACGGUACCAGCAGAAGAAGCCCCGGCUAACUACGUG
rnacentral:rRNA from 1 species